rnacentral:rRNA from 1 species
CCUACGGGAGGCAGCAGUGAGGAAUAUUGGUCAAUGGACGAGAGUCUGAACCAGCCAAGUAGCGUGAAGGAUGACUGCCCUAUGGGUUGUAAACUUCUUUUAUAUGGGAAUAAAAUGUUCCACGUGUGGGCUUUUGUAUGUACCAUAUGAAUAAGGAUCGGCUAACUCCGUGCCAGCAGCCGCGGUAAUACGGAGGAUCCGAGCGUUAUCCGGAUUUAUUGGGUUUAAAGGGGGCGUAGGUGGAUUGUUAAGUCAGUUGUGAAAGUUUGCGGCUCAACCGUAAAAUUGCAGUUGAAACUGGCAGUCUUGAGUACAGUAGAGGUGGGCGGAAGUCGUGGUGUAGCGGUGAAAUGCUUAGAUAUCACGAAGAACUCCGAUUGCGAAGGCAGCUCACUGGACUGCAACUGACACUGAGGCUCGAAAGUGUGGGUAUCAAACAGGAUUAGAUACCCGUGUAGUC